rnacentral:snRNA from 1 species
ACGUGUGUUAACGGAACUAACAU